GGUCUUCCUGUGGCUUAGUGGUAAGAGCGUCAGUCUCGGAUGCUGGAUGUCGCGGGAUCGAACCUCGGCGGAGUCA